ensembl:lncRNA
GGAAAAGCUGGUUCUUUGAGGCAUUAGUGCCGUGACCUCUCAGGCUGAUGGCUUUCUGAUUAAAGUCGUUAUUCCUGCCCCAGGAACUUGCCUCCCGAUGUACUGGUCUUUCGUGUGGUGAGCAGAAGUCCUUAUCAACUCUGUCAGAAGUGACCGGACCAUCUCUCCUGUGGAGUGGAAUCUCAGUCUUUCCCAGAAUAAGGGUCUUUUCCAAGGAGUCAGUUCUUCACAUCAGGUGGCCAAAGUAUUGGAGCUUCAGCUUCAGCGUCAGUCCUUCCAAUGAACACCCAGGACUGAUCUCCUUUAGAAUGGACUGGUUGGAUCUC